GACGAACGCUGGCGGCGUGCUUAACACAUGCAAGUCGAACGGAAAGGCCCUGCUUUUGUGGGGUGCUCGAGUGGCGAACGGGUGAGUAACACGUGAGUAACCUGCCCUUGACUUUGGGAUAACUUCAGGAAACUGGGGCUAAUACCGGAUAGGAUCUCCUGCUGCAUGGUGGGGGUUGGAAAGUUUCGGCGGUUGGGGAUGGACUCGCGGCUUAUCAGCUUGUUGGUGGGGUAGUGGCUUACCAAGGCUUUGACGGGUAGCCGGCCUGAGAGGGUGACCGGCCACAUUGGGACUGGGGUACGGCCCAGACUGCUACGGGAGGCAGGAGUGGAGGAUAGUGCACGAUGGGCGGAGGCCGGGUGCAGCAACGCCGCGUGCGAGAUGACGGCCUUCGGGGUGUAAAACGCUUUCGCCUGUGACGAAGCGUGAGUGACGGUAAUGGGUAAAGAAGCACCGGCUAACUACGU
rnacentral:rRNA from 1 species